GCCAAGGGGUCCCGAGGGAGCUGGACGUCUGAAUCUGGACUUGCCCCCAGCUUCGGGGUUCGAUUCUGGGUUUUGCGCGUCCCCAACCCCCAGGGCUUUCCGAAGCAUGGCCUGGCUCCAGGCCCGGUCCUGUAAGGACUGGAACGGCAGCAAAAUGUGCAGGGAGGCAGUCGGCCGGCAGAGCUGCGGCGGGAGCCAAGGUCAGGCCCGCGGGGAGAGCGGGCAGCUUCCAGCGCCGGCCACAAGCUCCCAGGCCAGCUGGGCCGCAGACCCCUUUGCUUCCAGAGAGCACAACCCGCGUCCUUUCUCUCAGCCAGGCUGCAGUGGCUGCCCCGAGCUUCGCUUUCGUUUCCCAAGCUGUUAAUAACGAUAUGUCCCCAAAUCCGAGGCUCGUGUUUGCUCCCAGAUGCCAAGAACGCAACCCGAAAUCCUUCUCCCAAACCCUAGGUCGACGAGAUGAGUUCCUACUUGACCUCUGAGCCGAGGUGGGCCGGAAACCGAGGCCUAGGCCCCGCCGGGGCUGCAAGGAAAAGGGGAAACUCCGAGCGUAGCGUCUUUUCCUUGUGGUUCCUUUCUCCGGCAUCCCGGACUGCGGGCCCUGCAGCCACCUGGACCGGCAUUCAAAGGAUUCUGCAAGUCCAGCUUCACAGACUGGCUUUCCCAGACGCUCCGAAGCCCGCACCACGAACAGAAUAAAGGAGAGACGAGAGAUCGCAACUAGAUUUGAGAAUCCUCGUUCUUUUCCCCAAUCGUUCGGGCAGUAAACUCCGGAGCCGGCUACAGCGCGCAUCCUCCCUUCCUCCUUUCGGAGAACUGUCGCUUUCCCGAAGCUGCUCCCAGCUGGGUUUUCUCCCGAAGUUUAUUUUUCUCAUUUUGCAAAAUUCCUGCCCUGAUUUUAAUACUGCAACAGGACAGCAGAGGUUCCUCUUUAAAAAGUCAAAACCCAAACCAAAGGGGCCCAUUGCUGUUGAUAAUUUUUUUCUUCACCUUCUCCUUCCGUUUUUAAGAAAGACACUUCCAAAACUACCCAUUGUUUUCCUCUCAAAAGAGAACUCGCUUUAAAAUGCAUCCCUUUCUAUUUCUCUCCGGAUAUGUCCCCACCUGACCCGGUGGCAACUUGUGGGGCGUGGGGGUAGUGAAAAAUAGAAGUGUGGACGGGGCUGGGAAAAUGAAUAAGAAUUAUAACAAUAGAAAUGAUGACAAAAC
rnacentral:lncRNA from 10 species